rnacentral:rRNA from 1 species
AUGGGCACCACCGACAGAAAAGCAAAGGCAUCGAUUACCAUGCUAGUGCCAUGGGUCAUCUGGAAUGAGCGCAAUGCAAGAGUGUUCAGGCAAAAGAGCGCACCUUCGCAAAUCUAGCUCAGCAUCAUUGAAGACGAGGCAAACCUUUGGAUCAAAGCUGGGGCAAAGAAACUAGGGUCUUUUUUAUUGCGAGAAUAA